GGGAGAGGGAAAGAAAGAGGAGGAGGAGGAGGAGGAGGAUCAAGGGGAAGAGGAGAGAAGAUUGUGAUAGGUCCUGCUUCUGUGAGAAUGGAGAGAGCUGGAGUUCCCCUGCUUUAAGGAAAGGGGUCGGCAUGGAUGCCCAGGGCCAUACCCUGCCCUUCAUUUCUCCAGGAGACCCGGCUUGGGACGCAGAGGAUUAAGGUGAGGAAGCCACCUUUUUCCUUGGACAGGUAAGAUCCAUGUCACUAUGCUCGUCGGGAGGGUCGCAGGCUAUCUAGAUUUCGUGUUUCAUUCUCUCUAGGAGACUGACCUGCACAGACAGAGCAAACCCACUACCCUGCGGGAACUGGGGUCCUGGAGUGCCCCCUAGUGGAAGCAGCUGGGCAUAACCGUGCACCCAGUGGAGACAGGACCAAAACCAACCUGGACAGCAGUAUUGACCAAGGGCUUUAAAGAGCACAGGCUGCACUUUGCAUUUUGUGCCCCGGGAACGACUCACAUUGAAGACGAUGUCUUCUGCGCCACAGUUCCUGACCUGACGAAAGACUGCGGAGAGCAGCUGCUGAAUGAUUUGUUCCCGCAGCUAAUGAGCUUCCGGCUGGCGUACUGUAUGCUUCCUUCACCUAAGACUGAACCAGGUGCUACUUCCUCUCGGAGAUUCAAGAGCACACCAGGCCCCAGUUUAUAUUCUCUAAGAGAGACGAUUUUAAGGACUCACACAAAUUCAGCAUGCACUGCAAUAAAUGGCAAGGAGGGGCUGGUGAGAUGGCUCAGUGGGUAAGAGCACCCGACUGCUCUUCCGAAGGUCUGGAGUUCAAAUCCCAGCAACCUUACAUGGUGGCUCACAACCAUCUGUAACAAGAUCUGACGCCCUCUUCUGGAGUGUCUGAAGACAGCUACAGUGUACUGACAUAUAAUAAAUAAAUAAAUCUAAAAAAAUAAAUAAAUAAAUAAAUAAAUAAAUAAAUAAAUGGCAAGGAAGGAAAAACAAAACAAAACAAAAAACAAGGCAGCAAGAACGUUUCACAGGAGGCCAGGGAGGACUUUCUGGAGGUGACACUGGAAAUGGCAAAGGGGCCUGGUGUGGUAAGAUAAGGUCACUUUGCAGGGCUGAUCUACUCUUGGGGGCCACUGGCCACAGCUCACUGCUAGGUGGGAACAGGAAGGGGGCAACAGCAAGGAGACAAAAAGAGGGAUUUUAGUUCCAAUCUUCACUAGGGAAUGUUAGUUGGAAACUCAUUUAAAAUGGAAAUUUGGAGUCUUUGCCCUUGUUGAGCCUAUUUAUAGUGUCUGUUCUUCAGACUAAGGCAUUCUCUGCUUCCUCCUCCUAUGUCAAGGAAUUUUUAUUGGGUACCAAACACUGUGAAAUUUAUGGUUUUGGCAGGUGGACUAUGCCAUGUGCCUUUAAAGAGCAUCGGAGCUUUUAUGGCAAGCUGAACUCUCAAUUGGAAACUUCUCUAGUCUUUUGAAGACUUGUAUUCAAGCCUUGAAGAACAGGCCAGGCAAGGCCUUCUCUUCUUGGCUAACGUCACCUCACUUUCAAGGUGUGGCACCAGGAACUGGCCCCCAUCUCUGCAGUUAAAUCAAGACUGACUCUGGCCACUGGGAACUCGAGCACUUCUCCACUCCUGUGAACACUACAGUUGGUCUUCCCUUGCUCGUGACCCUUGUUGCCAAGGUCUUCUCUCCUCCCAGGAGCUGGGAUGUUGAAGCAGGAGGAUCACCGAGCGUUCAAGGACAGCCUUGUCUACAUAGUGUUCCAGGACAUCCAGGGUUACAAAGAGACCCUGUCAAUUAAUGCUGAUGAUAAUAAAAGUGGGAGUAACUAAAGAAGACACACAGCAUGGGCCUCUGGCUUCUACAUGUGUGGUCAGGGGUGCACACCUAUGAAUGUUUGCUUUAUGGGAGAGUUUAUUAUGCAGCUCUGGCUGUCUUGGAUGUGAUACGGAGAACUGGCUGGCCUCAAACUCACAAGAUCCACCUGCCUCUGCCUUCUGGGUGCUAGGAUUAAAUCUAUGCACUAUUGAACUCAACCUACAAAUAAAUAUUUUUUAAAAGUGCAAGACAAAACCACAGAAAGCAGGCCCUCAGAAUGGUCCCACUGUCACCACUGUCUAGCAGGUGUACAACACUGUCUAGACCUUAGUGUAGGCUUUAAACACUCUUGGAACAGCUACUCUCAGCUCAAGAAACAAGCACAGUGAAGCAAGGGGGCAUUUUUGUGGCAUACACCUUAAGGGCUUCUUUCCAUCUGUGGCCGCAGGACUCGGGAUCUGUGUCACCGAGUAUCUGACCCUUUGAUGGCUCGGUCUUUGUUCACACAGAAAGGAUUCAUACUGGAGCCAUGACAACGAUUAGAAAAGCUAGCAUGGUCCCUGGAUGACUUCACUACCAUCUGGUCAUAGCGACGGUUAAAAGUUGUCAGGGACUCACCCGGGAGACAGGCCUUCGGGCACAUCUGUGAAGAAUUUCCUUGACUAGGCUAACAUGAAACAGUAUUUUAAAAAAACUGAUUUAAAACAUUUUAAAGAUUUGUGAUGCAUGUUCUGUCUGUCUGUCUACCAAGUGCAUGCCUGGUACCCUAGGAGACAGAGGAGGCCAAUAAAUUGCCUGGAACUGGAGUUAUAGAUGGCUGUGAUCCACCAUAUAGGUGCUGGGAACCAAAUCCUGGUCUUCUGGAAGAUCAACCAGAGCUUUUAAACACGGAGCCAUCUCUCUAACUACUAAAGACUGAUUUUGAAGUUUUUUGAACUAAUUAGUUAAUUAAUUAAUGUUACAGAGCAUAUGUGGAUGUCACAGGGCAACUUACAUAAGAUGGUCUUCUUCCACCAUGUGGGUUUUGGGAAUCAAACUCAAACUGUCAGGCCUGGCAUUUUUACCCACUGAGCCCAGAAGCUGCCUCUUGGAUAAUGUUUUGUGUUUGUAUUUGCUUCACUUUCUCACACUUAAAAAAAAAGAUGUAUUUAUUUAUUUUAUGUAUAUGAAUACUGUUGCUGUCUACACACCAUAAAGGGCAUCAGAUCCCAUUACAGAUGGUUGGGAGCCACCAUGUGGUUGCUGGGAUUUGAACUCAGGACCUCUGGAAGAGGAGUCAGUGCUCUUAACCGCUGAGCCACCUCUCCAGCCCCACUUUCCCACACUUAAUGUAUUAAAAUAAAUGUUUUGGGGCAGCAAGGUAGCUUACAGGCAAAGUACCUGGCACCUGUGCAGAGAAGCCGUUCAGUCCCAAGAACCCACAGUGGGAAGAGAGAACUGACUCCCAAAAGCUCCUCACCUCCACACUAGCAAACAUUCUCUCGCACUUACAAACACGCGCAGGGUAAAGUAUUUAACAGUUUAGCCCUCAGGGACUGUUAGCAGACACUCCCUUCCUACCUGUACUUUUUACAAAGGGGCACAUUUAGGUUUAUAGGUGGAACAGGAGUGAAGCGCACAGUUCUGGACCCGCACUGCCCCAGGCUCCCACUGUAUCCAGCAUUGCGGAGGCGCGCCUGCUGGACGUGAUGAACAACGUGAGCUGAUGUCCUCAUUGCUGAGAGUUCCUAGCUUCCAUUAGGCUUUGCUGUUUGUGUGCACUCUGCAAUGUGUUGACAAUUGGAACCUAUCAUGCUGUGUCUACAGAAUGUUCCACCUAUUCCCACCCUGACAAUCUCCAGCGACUACUCAUCUCUUUCCUGUCUCCAUAGCUUUUCUUUUUUCAGAGUGUCAUGGAGUAGCAAUGGCAUUUGAGAGACAGUGUCUUUUUAUGGUUUGUUAAUACUUUUCUUUUUACUGAUGAAUCAUAUCUCGUUUUGUGGGUCUAUCGGUUUGUCUAAUUUGGGGGAUUUUUUGUUUUGUUCCAGAACAGUCUCACUAUGUAGCCAAAGCUACCCUUAUUUGCAAUCCUCCUGCCUCAGCCUUCUCAGUUCUGAGAUUACAAGCAUGUGCCACCAUAUCCUUUUUUUUUUUUUUUAAUAAGAAAAGAAACAACAAUAAUUUUAAAAUCCCAAAAACAAAACUCUGCAGUUGGGCUUGGUGGUUCAUACCUGGAAUCACAGCACUUGGGAGGCUGAAACAGAGUCAAGGCCAGCCUAGGUUAUUUAGCAAGACCCUGUCUCGAUCAAUCAAUCUGGAAAGCCAUUUAGAGAAGGGAGACAAAUCUUGAGAAGAGUAGAAUGCUGGUUCUGGGUUCUGGGCCAGUCUGGUGAGCAGGGAAGCUUGCAGAGAGCAGGAGGCUCGCAGAGAAGGACAGUCCUGUGGGUAGCCAGAGUAGGCAAUUAAUGUGAGCCCUAGGCUAUCUGGGAGGAAGGUUUGGAGGUGUGACGGGUGCUGGAGCUUCUGAGAGCUCAUCUUGCUCUCUGUUGCUCUGUGCCUUCAAGACUUCCUGCUGGGAAGAGGAGACACACACCUACCCACUUUCUACAGUUCCCUGGCAGGUACAGUUAGGAAAGGCUGGCCACAAAGUCAUCCUUUUAAAAAACACACUGAAAAAAUUUCCCAGGGGAACAAGAGCUAGAAAUUUAGCAUAUUCUUUGCCAAACUGGCAGUCUGCUUGGUUACUGGGACCCAAUUCACCAGCUGAUUACAUCUGUCUGAUACCACUUGUGAUGCUCAGCCCAGGGAGUGGCACUAUUAGAAAGUGUAGCCUUGGUGAAGUAGGUAUGUCACUGUGGGUAUGGGCUUUAACACCCUCAUCCUAGGUGCCUGGAAGUCAGUAUUUUGCUAGCAGCCUUCAGAUGAAGAUGUAGAACUCUCAGCAUCUCCUGCACCAUGCCUGCCUGGAUACUGCCAUGUUCCUGGCUUGAUGAUAAUGGACUGAACCUCUGAACCUGUAAGCCAGCCACAAUUAAAUGUUGUCCUUAUAAGAGUUGCCUUGGGGGCUGGCGAGAUGGCUCGGAGGUUAAGAGCACUGGCUGCUCUCCCAAAGGCCCUGAGUUCAAAUCCCAGCAACCACAUGGUGGCUCACAAGCAUCCGUAAUGAGAUCUGACGCCCUCUUCUGGUGUAUCUGAAGACAGCUACAGUGUACUUAGAUAUAAUAAAUAAAAUCUUAAAAAAAAAAAAAAAAAAAGCCGGGUGUGGUGGCGCACGCCUUUAAUCCCAGCACUCAGGAGGCAGAGGCAGGCGGAUUUCUGAGUUUGAGGCCAAGCCUGGUCUACAAAGUGAGUUCCAGGACAGCCAGGGCUAUAAAGAGAAACCCUGUCUCGAAAAACCAAAAAAAAAAAAAAAAAAAAAAAGAUUUGCUUUUUGCUUUGUUCAUGUUCAUUCACAGCAGUAAAACCCUAAGAUACCACUGAACACUCAAAUGGCAGGUCCAUUCUGACACCACAGCUGGAUGAGGCUUAAAAAGGCAUCUGGUCUACCCUUAUGAUUGCCACUUGGGUCCACCAAUAGGUGAUCUUAUGUCCUCUGUCCGUCUGCCCUCCCAGGGCCAGCCAGCCAGCCUGUUCAUUUUGACAGCUCAAAUGCUGACAAAGAUCUCCUGAAACUAAAGCCCCCUUCCCUGUAGGGUGCUGUUUCCAUGAGCAGCUGCACAGGCAGUUAUAACCCAUGCUCUGGCGCUGUGCAGGUCAGCUGAAAUGCUGCUCUGCAGAGAUCUAUGCAGGGUUCCCAGUCUCCACUUGUCAACAACCCCAUUUUUAUGAAGUUAGUGUUGGGAUCUAUCACCUCCCAGGUUCUUUGAAUUUUCCUCUAUCUUCACUCCAAUAUUCCUUAUCCCCAGUUAAGGAUAAUUAACAGCAUUUUUGUGAUGUUAAAUAUUUAGGUUGAGGUUGAACACACCUCUAAUCACAGCACUUACGAACUAGAGGCCUAAGAUUCAUGGUAAUUUCAGGGUCAGUCAGCUUGGUCAACAUGGUCAACAAAGAGUAAUCAAAUUAUAAGCUGAAUUGUGGCAAUGGCUAAUACUAAUUAGAGGACCGGAGAUGUGCCUUAAUUGGAAGAGUGCUUAAGUAGCACUCACAGAGCCCUAGGUUCAAUCUCCAGCACUGCAUAAGUCAGCGGGAACUAUGGCACAUGCCUAUAUAUCCAGCAUUUGGAAGUUAGAGGCAGGAGACUCAGAAGUUCAAAAUCAACCUCUACCAUGCUACGAGUUUAAUGACACAAGGCUACAUGGAACUGUCUCUCAGAAAGAAAAAAAUAAAGCAAUAGAGACUAUGUUCGUACUAAAUCUGCCAGUGCUGCCAGCUGUCUAUAACUGCCCACAAAGUCUGGAGUGCAAAUGGAGACCAGGACAGAGCUAGGACCACCCACCCUCCAGUGUCCCACUUCCCUUGUAUUGACAAGUCCACAGCCUGCUCUCUUGCUGAUACUUUCCAUUUAUUACUGCAGUAGACAAUCCUCUCAAAGUGCAACACGAAAACUCGCUGCCACAGCCCCUGCUCUUUCCCCUCCCGCAAUCCCCUGGAAAUUCAUUCUUGGGAGCACUGACAAGUUUUUCUCUGGAUGAAAAAGUACCCCAUUGCCAGUGUCACAGGGAAAAUACACAAACGUGGGGAAAAAAAAAAAAAAAGGAGAAAGGCUCUUGAGAGGAGUGGUGUCUAGCAGCAACUAUCGUGCUGGUCACAUUGGCUCCGGCAGGCCUCUCCUGUUUGGGGAACAGAUGAUACCACAACCAUAACUAUCUGGUAUCUCAGCCUACCAGAGGCCUGUGGAGUCAAAAUAAAUGGAGAGACUUCUCCAGCUAGCUUGAAAAGAAGUGGGUUUGGGUAAACUGAGUGUUCACUUUCCCCUUGAGCUGUUAGGCAGAGCACCUGGAAGAACACUGGGGUUAAGCUGCUGCCCAACAGUUAGAGCCCCUCUAAUGAGCACACUUUGGAUGGGAGGGAAAAAACCCAACUGUCAAAUACUAAGACCAAGGACAGGGAAAGACAAAUAGCUCUAGAAAACACAAGAGAUUCAAAUAUCUCAACAAAUGAGGUUAAAAGGGCAAACAAAACAUCUAACCAGACCACUAGACCUGACACAGGCCUCACUCAUAAACACAUUGUACACGCGUACACACACACACAAACACACACACACACAAACACACACA